UGCCAAAGAGUAGUGCUAAUAACAGAACCUGUUUGACAUCUCUACAUGUUUUGUAAAAUGUCACAAACGGCAAACAAACCUUGUUAGUGUUUAAACCAGUGCAUGACACCUUACCUAGUCGCACAACUCUUGAGAGCGACAUCUUGGGCUUUCAGCACCCUGCCGCCGCCUCCCUGAAUAGUGUCCGGUUCAACCCGUAGCAACCACAAACGGGUACGUAAUUUUCGUCGUAACUGAUAUUACGACUGCCAAAAAACGGCCAUUAGUAAACAUGAUAUCCACACGGGAGCGACGGAAUCAUUCUAAAAAAAUUGAACAAAAAUCGUAUGCCAGGGACAGAUAUAGAUUAACUCAUGAUGUGAGCCCAGAUGAAAGCAUUGACUUGGGUUUGGAUAGAGAUAUUAUUGACUUGGAUGAUUAUUAUGAAGAAAAUGGUAUAUCGGCUUCUACCACCGAAAUUAAAUCAAGGAAACCCCCAACAUUAAACACCAAGCCUGUGAAUUCAACAUUCAAUCUGGACAGACAUGGAGAUGGAGUCAAUUCAGUACAGGACAGCUUUAAUAUCAUGGGUCUCUCUCAUAAAGCUGAAUUUAAUAACAACUUAGAAAAAGAAAAAACCAAAUGGAUAUACAACUAUGAAGAUGAAUACAGCAAGAAAAAGACAAGCACUUCUAGGCAAAGACAAGAUACCAGUGAUGUCAUUUCAAAUGGAACUGGAUAUGAAAACUUUCCAAAAAAUGAAUAUGUUAGAACAGCUAAAAAUGGCCAAGAUGCUGCUAGGGCAGACAGAAAACCAAGACGUCUCCCUCAAAUUCCACCAUCUCUGUCAGGUGAAGAUGAAUUCCAGGCAGUGUCCAAUGGGACUGUACCAGAGUCGCAAAGUGAAAGGCAUGAUCUUCAUUUGCCUCAGCAUAAAGCUAGUCCUAUGUCCAUAUCAACCUCCUCAGAGAAAUCCCUUGCUGAAGAAAUAUGGGAUGCUGAGCACCCCCAACCAAGUGACCGUACCCCUCUUCAGACACCGGAGACUUUUUCCCCCAACCUCCCCUUUUCUGAUGAAGGAGAAGAAGAGUAUGAAGAAAAUCCCCACUUCUUUCAAAGAGACAGAGCACUUACAGAUGAUAUGCAUUUGAAAUUCAAUACUACAUCUGCAAAUAACAAGGCAUUUCUGAGUUUUGACAAUGUUUACCUGAUGGAAGACUCAUCACCAGAAGAGAAACCAAGAAAGAAACCAGCAUCUCCGACUCAAAGAUUGGGAAAGAUUCCAGGUGUGGAGUCAAAAGGUGCAAUAUCGAGAAGCAGCUCAUGUUUAAGUGACUUGUGCAUAGAAUCAACUCAUAGGGGAGCUCACAAGUUUAUACCUAGGCAUAGUGAUGAAAUUGCAGUGGAGAUUGGAGACCCCAUAUAUGUAGAGGAAGAAGCAGAUGACUUAUGGUGUCAUGCUGUAAAUCUCAGAACUGGAAAAAGAGGCAUUUUUCCAUCAGCAUAUGUUUAUGAAAAGAAUCUCUUUCAUGAUGAGGAAACGGAGGAAGAUAAGAACAGAGUUGAUAAAUUCAUGCUGUAUUUUCUGGGUUCCAUCGAAGUGAAUUUCCACAAGGGUCAUGAUGUUUUGUGCCAAGCAAUACAUAAGGUAGCUUUGACCAGAAGAAUGACUUUGAACACAACACCACCUCCUCAGUGUAGAUUGGAAAUUAGUUCAUUUGGAAUUAAAAUGAUUGUCAAAACAAAGUCAAAAGAUAAGGCCAAGGAAAAAGAAUCUCUUUCUUCUUCCCUCUCAAGCCUUAGAAGUUCUUUCAGGAAGAAACUUGGGAAGGUGUUGGGAAAUAAGGUGCAUGGUCCUUGCUUUGGUUUGGCUUGCUUUUCAUUUAAUUCAGAAUUUUGUUCUACCCUCAUUAUGGUGUUUGCAUUUUAGUCUUAAGUGUGCAUCGAGAUGGUUUUGUUCUCGGCAUGGUAAUUCAUGUUGAUUAUUAGGACAAGUCAGGAAAUGCCCAUUUUUUCUCAUUGAAGAAUGUCUCAUUCUGUGGAUUUCAUCCAAAGAACCAAAAGUAUUUUGGGUUUAUCA
rnacentral:misc_RNA from 1 species